UUACGGCCACAUCAUGUUGAAAAACCGGUUAUGAUACGAUCACCGAAGUUAAGCAACGUCGACCCUGGUCAGUAGCUAGUUGGGUGACCGUUUGGGAAUACCGGGUGCAGUAAG
rnacentral:rRNA from 1 species